rnacentral:rRNA from 1 species
UUGUAGCUUGCUAUGGUAUAACUUAGUGGCAGACGGGUGAGUAAUGUAUAGGAAUCUACCUAGUAGUACGGAAUAAUUGUUGGAAACGGCAACUAAUACCGUAUACGCCCUACGGGGGAAAAAUUUAUUGCUAUUAGAUGAGCCUAUAUUAGAUUAGCUAGUUGGUGGAGUAAUAGCCUACCAAGGCAAUGAUCUAUAGCUGAUCUGAGAGGAUGAUCAGCCACACUGGAACUGAGAUACGGUCCAGACUCCUACGGGAGGCAGCAGUGGGGAAUAUUGGACAAUGGGCGAAAGCCUGAUCCAGCCAUGCCGCAUGAGUGAAGAAGGCCUUUGGKUUGUAAAGCUCUUUUAGUGAGGAAGAUAAUGACGGUACUCACAGCAAGAAGUCCUGGCUAACUCCGUGCCAGCAGCCGCGGUAAUACGGAGAGGGCUAGCGUUAUUCGGAAUUAUUGGGCGUAAAGGGCGCRUAGGCGGAUUAGUAAGUUAAAAGUGAAAUCCCAAGGCUCAACCUUGGAAUUGCUUUUAAAACUGCUAAUCUAGAGAUUGAAAGAGGAUAGAGGAAUUCCUAGUGUAGAGGUGAAAUUCGUAAAUAUUAGGAGGAACACCAGUGGCGAAGGCGUCUAUCUGGUUCAAAUCUGACGCUGAGGCGCGAAGGCGUGGGGACCAAACAGGAUUAGAUACCCUGGUAGUCCACGCUGUAAACGAUGAAUGUUAAAUAUGGGAAGUUUUACUUUCUGUAUUACAGCUAACGCGUUAAACAUUCCGCCUGGGGACUACGGUCGCAAGAUUAAAACUCAAAGGAAUUGACGGGGACCCGCACAAGCGGUGGAGCAUGUGGUUUAAUUCGAUGCAACGCGAAAAACCUUACCACUCCUUGACAUGGAAAUCAUACCUAUUC